UAGUGUUACCGCUCUUUUAGAAUUUGUCUAGCAGGUUUUCUGUUUUUUUCCCUGGAAAACCCCU